GCAACCCUGACUCUCAGCCAUUCCGCGUGAGUGAAGAAGGCCUUCGGUUGUAAAGCUCUUUCAGCAGGAACGAAACGGUGGCUACUAUACUAGCUACUAAUGACGGUACCUGAAGAAGAAGCACCGGCUAACUACGUGCCAGCAGCCGCGGUAAUACGUAGGGUGCGAGCGUUAAUCGGAAUUACUGGGCGUAAAGCGUGCGCAGGCGGUUAUGUAAGACAGGUGUGAAAUCCCCGGGCUUAACCUGGGAACUGCGCUUGUGACUGCAUAACUUGAGUGUGGCAGAGGGGGGUGGAAUUCCACGUGUAGCAGUGAAAUGCGUAGAGAUGUGGAGGAACACCGAUGGCGAAGGCAGCCCCCUGGGUCAACACUGACGCUCAUGCACGAAAGCGGGGAGCAAACAGGAUUAAUACCCUGGUAGUCCACGCCCUAAACGAUGCGAACUAGAAACAGGAUUAGAUACCCUGGUAGUCCGCACAGUAAACGAUGAAUACUAAGGUGUUGGGGAAGGAGACUUCCUUAGUACCGUAGCUAACGCGUGAAGUUGGCCGCCUGGGGAGUACGGUCGCAAGAUUAAAACUCAAAGGAAUUGACGGGGACCCGCACAAGCGGUGGAUGAUGUGGAUUAAUUCGAUGCAACGCGAAAAACCUUACCUACCCUUGACAUGCCAGGAAUCCCGCUGAGAGGUGGGAGUGCUCGAAAGAGAGCCUGGACACAGGUGCUGCAUGGCUGUGUCAGCUCGUGUCGUGAGAUGUUGGUUAAGUCCCGCAACGAGCGCAACCCUUGUCAUUAGUUGCCAUCAUUUAGUUGGGCACUCUAAUGAGACUGCCGGUGACAAACCGGAGGAAGGUGGGGAUGACGUCAAGUCCUCAUGGCCCUUAUGGGUAGGGCUUCACACGUCAUACAAUGGUCGGUACAGAGGGUUGCCAAGCCGCGAGGUGGAGCCAAUCCCAGAAAGCCGAUCGUAGUCCGGAUCGGAGUCUGCAACUCGACUCCGUGAAGGGAAUCGCAUAGUAAUCGUGGAUCAGCAUGCCACG
rnacentral:rRNA from 1 species